AGAGUUUGAUCCUGGCUCAGAACGAACGUUAGCGGCGCGCUUAACACAUGCAAGUCGAACGCGACUGGGGCAACCCAGUUGAGUGGCGCACGGGUGAGUAACACGUAGGUAAUCUUCCUCCGAGUGGUGGAUAACCUUCCGAAAGGAGGGCUAAUACAGCAUAAGACCACGGCUUCGAAAGGAGCUGAGGUCAAAGCAGG
rnacentral:rRNA from 1 species